rnacentral:lncRNA from 10 species
AAAAGGCGGGGAGGUCAGAAAAGGGUCAGAGGGUUCACUGGCCUGAAGACCCCUUUGAAGUAGUUGUAUCCUAACUGUGACCCCAGCUCAGAGCUGGGGAAUGCUAAGGUGGGAUCCCUGCCCACCCUUCUGGAAGAGAGGCCGUAAGCUUCACUGCUGAAGAAAAGAGGAGGCUGUCUGGACUCCAGAAAGUGGGCCUCACCUGGCCAAGGAAGCUAAAGAGCAGAGGCAGAGGGCAGAGGCCCUGGACUCAGAGCAGAGGCUGGGGUAUCAUACAAGGUCAAGGUCCCUGCAGCAAGGCAGGGUCAGGGAUGGGGUCUGAGGUGUUGAGGCCUUGAGUUAGAAAAGACUCAUUAUUAUGUGCUCAUUCAUUCAUUUCAACAUUCCAUGUGUAUUUAUUAAACUGUUACUGUUUGCCAGCCGUGGUGCUAGGUGCAGGAUGAGCCAAACAGACUUGAUUCCUGAAGCCUUGAAGCAGAAGCAAGUCUAGGAGGGGAAGUAGACACAAAUCAAAUAAUUGUGCACAUCCAUGUGUGACGAUAAACUAUGCUGAGAGCCAUGCAAGAAAGGAGCACAGGGCUUUGAUAGCCCGGGACAGAGGAACUGGACCCAGUCUGAGAGAUGAGAACAUGGAAGCUGAGAGAGGUCAAGUGACUUCUCCAAGGUCAUGCUGGAAGAGCAGAGACACCAACUCCAAACUGACAACCUCUGACUCCCAAGUGCCUGCUCCUAACCCCUUCCAUCCUUUCCCCCGUCUCUUGCUUCCUUCCUUUCUUCUUUCUCUUCCUUCUGGGCUUCUAUAAACAUCUACAAGCUUGUGAUGAAUUAGAGGCUGGUUAUUCACAUUACACCAUGGCUCUCUGCUUUACACAAGUGUGGUUUCAUAAUGAGGAUCUGAUUCAUGCACUGCUUUUAGGGACACCUAUAUCCGCAUCCCAUUGCCAAGUUCCUCAGCAAAUGUCAAGGUGUUGAGGGAGAAUCAUCGACAUUUCAGAGUUGGAAGUACAACCCCCCUUAUUCCACAGAGACAAAGUAACUGAGGCCCUGCGAGGAGAGAAGGCCUGUGAAGGACAAUGAUACUCACUGCUGUGGUGGAAGCCAGGCAGGCCCCUUCUGACCCCUGCUGUGCUCCAGCCGGCACACCCGACUUCCCUCUGAGGAAUCUGGGCGUCCCUCAGUGGACGCAGUAAAAAGCUUCUCCAAGUCGACGUAGAACCUGGACCAGCACAGGCAAAGGCACCGCCAACCAUUCUGAAAGUUCUGACAUAACUCCCAGGCCUCAGGCUGCCAAGGCUGGACCCUGAACCUCGGUAAUCAGGAAAAGAACCUGGGGGCCUUCUGUCUCCCCCACACCCCUUUUUAACAUUUUGAAACAGAAUAUAACAUAAAAUUAACCAUUUUAAAGCAUAAGUUGAGUGGCAUUUAAUGCCUUCACAAUAUUGUGCAACCACCAUCUAUAUCAAGUUCCAAACAUUUUUUGUCGCCUCAAAAGGAAACCCUUUGCUCCUUAGCAGUCACUCCUAUUCCUCCACACCACCCCCAAGACCCUGGCAAUAACCGGUCUGCUUUUUGUUUCUGUGGAUUUACCUAUUCUGGAUAUUUCAUAUAAAUAGAAUCUUACCAUAUGUGACCAUUUGUGUCUGGCUUCUUCACUUGGCAUAAUGUUUUCAAGGUUCACCCCCCUUGUAGCACGUAUCUGUAUUUCAUUCCUUCUGAUGACCGAAUAAUAUUCCAUUGUAUGGAUAUGCCACAUUCUGUUUGUCUGUUCAAACACUGAUGGACAUUUUGGUUGUUCCCAUCUCUCAUUAUUGCAAAUAGUGCUGCUAUAAACAUUUAUGUAC